rnacentral:rRNA from 1 species
GACGGAGGGUGCCAGCGUUGCUCGGAAUUAUUGGGCGUAAAGCGCGUGCAGGUGGUUUGCCAAGUUUCGUGUGAAAUCCCCGGGCUCAACCCGGGAAGUGCGCGGAAAACUGGCAGGCUUGAGUUCAGGAGAAGAGGGCGGAAUUCCAGGUGUAGAGGUGAAAUUCGUAGAUAUCUGGAGGAACACCGGUGGCGAAAGCGGCUCUCUUGACUGACACUGACACUCAUACGCGAGAGCGUGGGGAUCAAACAGG